GUGCAGGCCUCAGUGCCCUCUUGUGCCCCGGGGCUCUGCCAGCUUGGCCCAGAACCCUCGGACACCUGUUCCACCAAGAUGUGUGGGUUCUCUCCGGCAGAAAUGGGAGAACGACCUUUCUUUCCAGUGGCUGGGCCCUGCCCAGCUAUUUUGCAACUCCUAAGAGAACUUGGGCUUUGAUUACAGCAGGAAAGGUUUAGGGGAGACACCAAGAAGCCCCUGGAACAGGUGAUAAGGGAAAGUUCAGGACUCUGCCUUUGUGCUUGAGAAAUACACCGGUGCCUCCCUGCUUCGCGCCUGCGUUCAUCACGUUACUCUCAUUGCUCAGAAACUCCCAGCAGCUGUCCCCUCCCCUGCUGGCUGCAGAAAGGCCUAACUCCUCGGCACCCAAGGCCCACUGCAACACAUCCUCAUUUACCUUUUGAAGGUCACAUCCCACUGCUCUGUCUCCAGGAAAGAACAGCUGACCCCAGCUGUAGCCAUCUCCCGGGGUCCGAACACGCUCUCUCCAGAGCCCCGCGUCUGGGAACCACGAGAGAAGGGUACGUGUUCCUUGCUUACAGAGUAAACAUCUGUCCGUAGCGUGGAGAAAAAAACUGAAAACCACUGCUGUGGGAGAAGCUAAGAAGGGUCUCUCCGAGGACAAUAUACACUUGGACUCAAACUCCCGAGGCUCAGAGGCUUCACAGGUGUCUGCACACCUUGCUUUAGGGAAAGAGGCACAGGUGAUGUGAUUGAGUGUCCGACUCUCCAUUUUGGCUCAGGUCAUGAUCCCAGGGUCAUGGGACUGAGCCCCACAUUGGGCUCUGAACUGAGCGUGGAGCCUGCUUAAGAUUCUCUCUCUCUCUCUCUCUCUCUCUCUCUCUCUCUCUCUCUCUGUCUCAUUCCCCCUCUGCCCCUCUCCCCUUUGUGCUCACACACUCUCUCUCUCUCUUAAAAAAAAAGUUGGAAAUAAUAAACUUGGCUAACAGGGCUCCUAACCAUGAUGUACUGAGUCCUUGAUUAAUCUCGACAAUAUGAACUUGCAUAGGGAUAUUAGACUCUCCCACACCCUUUGUUCUAGAAGACCAGGGUUCUUUCUGAUCACGUCUCAUUUUACCUCCUCCGUGGCCCAGAGACGCCAGGAGGGGCACCACUGUCCUGUUUGCCAGCCCCGAGAAGCCCAGCCUUGCCAGAGUCACCCUGUGAGGGAGCGCCCCGUGAAGCCUGGGAAGGUUUCCGGUGGUUAGGAGCCAGGAAGUGAUGUGACCCCUGUCUCAAAGGGCCUAGAGGCACUGGCUCUCCCAGCCUGCCCUUGGUCUCCUCCCGCCUU